CGGAGGGAUCAUUACAAGUGACCCCGGUUUACCACCGGGAUGUUCAUAACCCUUUGUUGUCCGACUCUGUUGCCUCCGGGGCGACCCUGCCUUCGGGCGGGGGCUCCGGGUGGACACUUCAAACUCUUGCGUAACUUUGCAGUCUGAGUAAACUUAAUUAAUAAAUUAAAACUUUUAACAACGGAUCUCUUGGUUCUGGCAUCGAUGAAGAACGCAGCGAAAUGCGAUAAGUAAUGUGAAUUGCAGAAUUCAGUGAAUCAUCGAAUCUUUGAACGCACAUUGCGCCCCCUGGUAUUCCGGGGGGCAUGCCUGUUCGAGCGUCAUUUCACCACUCAAGCCUCGCUUGGUAUUGGGCAACGCGGUCCGCCGCGUGCCUCAAAUCGACCGGCUGGGUCUUCUGUCCCCUAAGCGUUGUGGAAACUAUUCGCUAAAGGGUGUUCGGGAGGCUACGCCGUAAAACAACCCCAUUUCUAAGGUUGACCUCGGAUCAGGUAGGGAUACCCGCUGAACUUAAGCAUA
rnacentral:rRNA from 1 species